UACAGAGGUCUCAAGCGUUUGUUCGGAUUCAUUGGGCGUAAAGGGUGUGUAGGUGGCGCCGGUAAGUCGGGUGUGAAAUUCGAUGCUUAACUCCGAAACUGCAUUCGAUACUGCGGUGCUUGAGGACUGGAGAGGAGACUGGAAUUCAUGGUGUAGCAGUGAAAUGCGUAGAGAUCAUGAGGAAGACCAGUGGCGAAGGCGGGUCUCUGGACAGUUCCUGACACUGAGACACGAAGGCCAGGGGAGCAAACGGG
rnacentral:rRNA from 1 species